rnacentral:rRNA from 1 species
GAUGAACGCUGGCGGCGUGCCUAAUACAUGCAAGUCGAGCGAACGGACGAGAAGCUUGCUUCUCUGAUGUUAGCGGCGGACGGGUGAGUAAAACGUGGAUAACCUACCUAUAAGACUGGGAUAACUUCGGGAAACCGGAGCUAAUACCGGAUAAUAUUUUGAACCGCAUGGUUCAAAAGUGAAAGACGGUCUUGCUGUCACUUAUAGAUGGAUCCGCGCUGCAUUAGCUAGUUGGUAAGGUAACGGCUUACCAAGGCAACGAUGCAUAGCCGACCUGAGAGAGUGAUCGGCCACACUGGAGCUGAGACACGGUCCAGACUCCUACGGGAGGCAGCAGUAGGGAAUCUUCCGCAAUGGGCGAAAGCCUGACGGAGCAACGCCGCGUGAGUGAUGAAGGUCUUCGGAUCGUAAAACUCUGUUAUUAGGGAAAAACAUAUGUGUAAGUAACUGUGCACAUCUUGACGGUACCUAAUCAGAAAGCCACGGCUAACUACGUG